AUAACUGAACGGAUCGGUGCGAAUUGUUGUUCGACGACAGCGACAGUGACUCCGUAACGGUAAAAGGUGUUCACAACUUGACAUUAGGAGGUAGACGAUGUUGUAGAAGGCGUGGCAAUGAGCAGAGGAAUAAACUGGCACAACAACUUUAAAAGUACAAACCAAGUGCAGAAUUGAAGAGCACAGACCGAGCAACAAUACAAAAUGCGAUGUCAGCAACAGCAGCAAGUACAAC